UCCUACGGGAGGCAGCAGUAGGGAAUCUUCGGCAAUGGACGGAAGUCUGACCGAGCAACGCCGCGUGAGUGAAGAAGGUUUUCGGAUCGUAAAGCUCUGUUGUAAGAGAAGAAUGAGUGUGAGAGUGGAAAGUUCACACUGUGACGGUAUCUUACCAGAAAGGGACGGCUAACUACGUGCCAGCAGCCGCGGUAAUACGUAGGUCCCGAGCGUUGUCCGGAUUUAUU
rnacentral:rRNA from 1 species